UGGGGAAUUUUGGACAAUGGGCGCAAGCCUGAUCCAGCCAUGCCGCGUGUGUGAAGAAGGCCUUCGGGUUGUAAAGCACUUUCGGACGGAACGAAAUCGCGCGAGUUAAUAGCCCGCGUGGAUGACGGUACCGUAAGAAGAAGCACCGGCUAACUACGUGCCAGCAGCCGCGGUAAUACGUAGGGUGCGAGCGUUAAUCGGAAUUACUGGGCGUAAAGCGUGCGCAGGCGGUUUUGUAAGCCAGAUGUGAAAUCCCCGAGCUUAACUUGGGAACUGCAUUUGGGACUGCAAGGCUGGAGUAUGGCAGAGGGGGGUAGAAUUCCUGGUGUAGCAGUGAAAUGCGUAGAUAUCAGGAGGAAUACCGAUGGCGAAGGCAGCCCCCUGGGUCGAUACUGACGCUCAUGCACGAAAGCGUGGGGAGCAAACAGGAUUAGAUACCCUGGUAGUCCACGCCCUAAACGAUGUCAACUAGUUGUUGGGGGACUUACCUCCUUUAGUAACGAAGCUAAUGCGUGAAGUUGACCGCCUGGGGAGUACGGUCGCAAGAUUA
rnacentral:rRNA from 1 species